rnacentral:rRNA from 1 species
GGUUGCGGCCAUAUCUACCAGAAAGCACCGUUUCCCGUCCGAUCAACUGUAGUUAAGCKGGUAAGAGCCUGMCCGRGUAGUGUAGKGGGKGACCAUACGCGAAACUCAGGUGCUGCAAUCU